rnacentral:rRNA from 1 species
AUUCCAGCUCCAAGAGCGUAUAUUAAAGUUGUUGCAGUUAAAAAGCUCGUAGUUGGAUUUCUGGUACAACGCGCCUGGCCCGCUUUUAGUGAGUGCCGGUGCGCGUUUGCCAUCCUUCUAGAAAACGUUUCUACCUGGGCAACCGGGCCGGACUCGCGAUCUAGAUCUUUUACUUUGAAAAAAUUAGAGUGUUUAAAGCAGGCUUUUGCUGUGAAUACAUUAGCAUGGAAUAAUAAUCUAGGACUUCGGUUCUAUUUUGUUGGUUUCUAGUACUGAAGUAAUGAUUGAUAGGGAUAGUUGGGGGUGCUAGUAUUGGCCGGCCAGAGGUGAAAUUCUUGGAUUCGGUCAAGACUAACUUAUGCGAAAGCAUUCACCAAGGAUGUCUUCAUUA